UUUCCACAUAAGCUGAUCAAAUGAAAUAAUUCGUCAACGUUCUGAGAUACAAGUUUGUCCACCAAAGAAACAAAACAUUGCUAGUCAGCAAACCAAGCUGCAGCACCUGUGGUUGUUCAAGCAAAAUCAGGUACCCGUGAAACCAGCCACAGAGACAAAGCAGAUGCCCAAACCGCUGAAGGUAGAAACACGCUUACUCAUAAUCUAGAGGCAUUUUGUGGUCAUUUAGUGUUCAUCCUUCCAUGGCAAGGUCCAAAGCAACGAAGGUACUUGCAACUUGAUAUUUGGAAGCUCGCCAUGUAUCUGGCUCCUUUUUUUGCGAUCGCAAAAAAAUCAAUCUCUAGGAGAGUAUUAACACAUAUCACUGAUAAUGAACAUAACUCUGCAAAGAAAAAGGAAAAAAUGAGAAGGAGAUUAAUAAACGUAGCUGUACAUAUGCUACAUAAAUUUCCAUCUAAUAUUCUCACCUUGGUCCCGGUCUGCAGUAUGUCGUCUUGCCCAUCCAGCCUGAACUGAUAGAGAAAGUUCCAUGUGGCACUUUAUUUGUGAGGAUAUAACAUGAGUCAACAACAAAUUUAUCAUUGUUAUUCAUGGCAAGAUAAUAGAUCAUUCAUAAAUAUAUAUUUUGUUGGAUGUUGAUUACUGGAAAGUAAUACCAAUAUGGGCUUACAAAUUUGGGCAUGCUUCUUUUCACCGACGACACCUAUUAGCAGAGGUAAAUCAUAAUAUUAUAGACAUAUGUUACUAAUAGAAAAUACUACUUUUCCUUUUAUAUUACUUAAAUUAGAACAAUCAAUUUCUUCCAUGUCCCGAAACUUCUCAUUGAGCCUCUCCAUUUAACUCAGCAAUUUUGGGUUAUGGUAAAAUCAUGGGUUUUCAACAAAAUAAAAACAAACAAGACCAAUAAGAAAGAAAACUUAAGAAUUCAAGCCUAUCAGACAAUCAUGCACCUCCGGUGGCAUGUCGACAAUCAGACAUACCAAAACCUUUAGUCCUAAUUUUUCCCCAAUACAAUGUGCGAAACAACAAAUAAUAACCUUGUGUGUGUGUGAAACAACAAAUAAUAACCUUCAUGCCAGCAAUGCAUAUUAAUAUUAGAAGAUCAAAAUGUGUUUCACUGUGUAACAUUUCCAUUGCAUGUACAUAACAUGCUAUGCAUCAAAUCCCCCUGCACAAGAUUCCUCUAUCAUGGCCACACUCGUAUCCAGUGGUGGUGGAGUAGCCUAGGACGUGAAGCAGGGAAAGGGGCACAACAUACCGGUGCGGCCGGCGACGGCGGAGACACAACGGACUGCUCGGCCUCCUCGUCCCCACAAUGCUUUAACUAUCUUGGAUAUCUUUCAAAAAGAAUGCCAAUGAGGGCGUCAGUUGCUACAAAUUCAUGACUUCAAAGAAACACAAAUAACCCAUUAGAUGGUUCAGUACAAAUCAUUUCUUCACUUGCAGUACCAUGUAAAACAUUGAAUAGGUAUGCAUCACUCAUCAUUUCAAAAAGACUUCGAACAAAAACAUUCAACACCUCUGACUCCACAAAGACUUAAGAAAUUAGGGUGCCUAAAUCUUUAUGCAGAACUGGGUACAUCUUACUUAUUAGUUAGCCAACCACCGUAUCCAAGUGGCCCAAUUACGUGAAUACAAUCAGUAUCAAUCAUAAGUAUGAAACAUGAAACUUUCUGAAAUGAUCAGUACUUAUUAGGUCUCAAACUAUACAUAUAGAAACUUGAGACUGCAGACAUGAACGGUCGACUCUGAAACUCCACUCAAAUCACCACAUUAUCUAAGCAUGCUCAGUUAGCAACAGUAAAACAAAUUACAGAAUCUGAAACCUCACACAUUAUUUAGAGAGUACCUUAUUUUCUGUUCUUGCUACACUGGAAUCAAUGUACACUCUGAAUGAAAAAUAACAAACACUUGAUUGAUAUGGUCAUCAUAUAUGAAAUAAGACAGUAUGUGACAAACUAUAUAAAGCCGUAGAUUUUGAUGUACUACUAAUAUUUGGUCAUCCAAACUCAUAUAAUAGUUCCUCACCUGCAAAUCCUCCAGUAGUUGUGCUGACAUAUGAAACAUCUUCUUGAUCUCCCUAAGCUGAAUUCUAUGAUAGCACAGAGCUGAACUCGAAAAAUAAAAUCACACCGUAGGACAUCUACAGGCUAUUUUUACAUGAAAUGAGACUCGAAAACACAUACAAAGGAAAAGGGGACACCUGUUUAAAUAAGCCAUUGAAAGCAGGCUACACAGAGCUCGACAUAUCGCCUUGCGAACCUAGCUCAAUAUCAGCAUUUCUUCGGGCCCAAUCCUCUUUG
rnacentral:lncRNA from 1 species